AGCGGCGGACGGGUGAGUAACACAUGGGUAACCUGCCCAAGAGACUGGGAUAACACCUGGAAACAGAUGCUAAUACCGGAUAACAACACUAGACGCAUGUCUAGAGUAUGAAAGAUGGUUCUGCUAUCACUCUUGGAUGGACCUGCGGUGCAUUAGCUAGUUGGUAAGGUAACGGCUUACCAAGGCAAUGAUGCAUAGCCGAGUUGAGAGACUGAUCGGCCACAUUGGGACUGAGACACGGCCCAAACUCCUACGGGAGGCAGCAGUAGGGAAUCUUCCACAAUGGACGAAAGUCUGAUGGAGCAACGCCGCGUGAGUGAAGAAGGGUUUCGGCUCGUAAAGCUCUGUUGGUAGUGAAGAAAGAUAGAGGUAGUAACUGGCCUUUAUUUGACGGUAAUUACUUAGAAAGUCACGGCUAACUACGUGCCAGCAGCCGCGGUAAUACGUAGGUGGCAAGCGUUGUCCGGAUUUAUUGGGCGUAAAGCGAGUGCAGGCGGUUCAAUAAGUCUGAUGUGAAAGCCUUCGGCUCAACCGGAGAAUUGCAUCAGAAACUGUUGAACUUGAGUGCAGAAGAGGAGAGUGGAACUCCAUGUGUAGCGGUGGAAUGCGUAGAUAUAUGGAAGAACACCAGUGGCGAAGGCGGCUCUCUGGUCUGCAACUGACGCUGAGGCUCGAAAGCAUGGGUAGCGAACAGGAUUAGAUACCCUGAUAGUCCAUGCCGUAAACGAUGAGUGCUAAGUGU
rnacentral:rRNA from 1 species